rnacentral:rRNA from 1 species
CAAGCGGUGGAGCAUGUGGUUUAAUUCGAUGCAACGCAAAAAACCUUACCUGGUCUUGACAUCCACGGAAGUUUUCAAAGAUGAAAAUGUGCCUUCGGGAACCGUGAAACAGGUGCUGCAUGGCUGUCGCCAGCUCGUGUUGGGAAAUGUUGGGGUAAGUCCCCCAACGAGCGCAACCCUUUUCCUUUGUUUUCAGUCGUCCGGCCGGGAACUCAAAAGAGACUGCCAGUGAUAAACUGAAGGAGGGGGGGGAUGACAUCAAGUCUUCACGUUCUUUACGAGCAUAGCUACACACUUGCUACAAUGGCACAUACAAAGACAACCCACCUCGCGAGAGCAAUCGGACAAAAUAAACCGCGUCUUAGACUGGAUUGGAGUCUGCACCCCGACUCCCUGAAGUCGGAAUCGCUAGCAUAUCACAAAUCUGAAUGCCACAGAUAAUCCGUCCCCGUGGUCUUGUACACCCC